GGACAGUGCCUGGUGGGUAGUUUGACUGGGGCGGUCUCCUCCCAAAGCGUAACGGAGGAGCACGAAGGUGGGCUAAUCACGGUUGGACAUCGUGAGGUUAGUGCAAUGGCAUAAGCCCGCUUGACUGCGAGAAUGACAAUUCGAGCAGGUGCGAAAGCAGGUCAUAGUGAUCCGGUGGUUCUGAAUGGAAGGGCCAUCGCUCAACGGAUAAAAGGUACUCCGGGGAUAACAGGCUGAUACCGCCCAAGAGUUCAUAUCGACGGCGGUGUUUGGCACCUCGAUGUCGGCUCAUCACAUCCUGGGGCUGAAGUCGGUCCCAAGGGUAUGGCUGUUCGCCAUUUAAAGUGGUACGCGAGCUGGGUUUAGAACGUCGUGAGACAGUUCGGUCCCUAUCUGCCGUGGGCGUUGGAGAAUUGAAAGGGGCUGCUCCUAGUACGAGAGGACCGGAGUGGACGAACCUCUGGUGUUCGGGUUGUGUCGCCAGACGCAUUGCCCGGUAGCUAAGUUCGGGAUCGAUAACCGCUGAAAGCAUCUAAGCGGGAAGCGAGCCUUGAGAUGAGUUCUCCCUGAUACUUUAAGUAUCCUAAAGGGUUGUCGUAGACUACGACGUUGAUAGGCAGGGUGUGUAAGCGUUGUGAGGCGUUGAGCUAACCUGUACUAAUUGCCCGUGAGGCUUAACCAU
rnacentral:rRNA from 2 species